CAGUCGCCGCGGUAAUACGGAGGGUGCGAGCGUUAAUCGGAAUUACUGGGCGUAAAGCGUACGCAGGCGGUUUGUUAAGUCAGAUGUGAAAUCCCCGAGCUUAACUCGGGAACUGCAUUUGAAACUGGCAGGCUAGAGUCUCGUAGAGGGGGGUAGAAUUCCAGGUGUAGCGGUGAAAUGCGUAGAGAUCUGGAGGAAUACCGGUGGCGAAGGCGGCCCCCUGGACGAAGACUGACGCUCAGGUAAGAAAGCGUGGGGAGCAAACAGGAUUAGAUACCCGCGUAGUCCCUGUCUCUUAUAC
rnacentral:rRNA from 1 species